CAAUUUUCUUUUUCAUCUUACAGGUUGAUACAGUGAAUUAUCUUCAAGUGAAAAUGAGAGGAAAAUCAUCAGUACUCACUAAAACUCAUCUAGUAGGAGUUAAAUGAUUUUUAUUACAUUAUAGCUCCUCUGAACUUCCCUGCAGUGAGGAGCACAUCUACUUGCCUUUGUUUUUUUUAAUUCUGCUGGUUUUUAGUAUACGAUUAAAAGUACUUAACAUUUUUAAUAUUCAUCAUUUCAAGGUACCUUUUACCUUUCUGGCAGACAUAGCUCUUUAGAGCAGUGGGGGAAAAGAGAGACUCCAGGAGCCAGAGUGGAGAUUCCCCUGCAGCCUGUGACUUCUACGUAGUGUCUUGACUGUCAGUUAUGAAAGAAGAUGAUAUAUGAGCCAGAACUACUGUAUCUUGUGGUUAACCUCCGUGUCCCUGACUUGGCAUGACAUACUGGAGUGAGAUUGGACUGGAAAAGGAUUUCACUCUGAAAAUGCUUUGUUAAGGAAAGAAGGCAAAGAAUCAGAGGGGAAGCUUUGAAUUGGCGCAGCGAGGGAGAUCAUUGUCCGUCCAGCCCAGUGGCUUGUGCCCAGCAAUACCCACUAGCAGAUUCUAGCCAAAGAAUGGAACACCAGAGUAAAUCAGAGAAGCCCUUCCCCCUUCAGCUUCCAGCAGUAAGCAGAUUAAUGACUUUAUUAGCCAGCAGCCACAUCAAACCACUGUAUUUGGUGGCUGUGAAUUGAUAUCUCUUGCAUGGACUUCUCUUCUUAUGAAUUCAUUUAUACUUUGAGUCUCUUGUGAAUUUCACUAUUUAAUCACAUUUUGCGUGGAGAAUGUAAUUCCUUCUGAUGACUUUGAAUUGCUGACUGUGACUGUGGUAGUAUCACAAUUUUCCUGUUCUGUGCUACGAAAAAUAAGAAAUAAUUGUUCCAUGUUUGAUUUUGUGUAUGUGGGCUGUACUAUCCUAGGCAUCUGUUCAAUUCCUCCAUAAUAGCUUUUUUCCCCUCUUCCAAAGCUGAAGAAAUUAAAUUUGUUUACUCAUUUCUGAAUACAGAAACUAUUCUUUAUAGAAUCACAGGACCAGAGAAUGAUUUAGGUUGGAAGGGACCUUAAAGAUCAUCUCGUUCCAACCUUUUGCUGUGGACAAGGACAAUCUUCCUCUAGACCAGAUUGCUCAGAGCUCCAUCCAUCCUGGCUUUGAACACUUCCAGGGAUGAGGCAUCCAUAGCUUUUCUGGGCAGGCUGUUCCAGGGCCUCACCACCCUCACAAGGAAGGAUUUAUUCCUGAUAUCUAACCUAAAUUUUUCCUCCUUCAGUUUGAAAGAGGGGAAGUUUGUCUGUCCAGACUGUUUCUCUUACCCACCUCUCUUUUCCCCAUUUUCAUUUUGGCCUGUUUUGGGAGGUAAUGACCUUAACUAUGUGCAGUAUUGAUGUCAGGGAAUGUUGUACUCCAUGGAUUCUGACGUUAAUAGUGUCAGCAUUUCUUUUUCCUUUGUCGUCAGUCACUGAUAGCUCUUCACAUCUUACAGUCCUCAAGCUCAGCUGAGCACUUACUGCACUAAACAGGAUGAGAAACUAUAUUUUUCCUUUUUUUUUUUUUUUUUCCUAUUUCAAACAUAAAUCUCUUCUGAUACCAUCUAAUUUGAUGGGAUUUUGGUA